rnacentral:rRNA from 1 species
GACGAACGCUGGCGGCGUGCCUAAUACAUGCAAGUAGAACGCUGAAGGGGGAGCUUGCUUCUCUGGAUGAGUUGCGAACGGGUGAGUAACGCGUAGGUAACCUGCCUGGUAGCGGGGGAUAACUAUUGGAAACGAUAGCUAAUACCGCAUAAUAGUAGAUGUUGCACGACAUUUGCUUAAAAGGUGCAAUUGCAUCACUACCAGAUGGACCUGCGUUGUAUUAGCUAGUUGGUGGGGUAACGGCUCACCAAGGCGACGAUACAUAGCCGACCUGAGAGGGUGAUCGGCCACACUGGGACUGAGACACGGCCCAGACUCCUACGGGAGGCAGCAGUAGGGAAUCUUCGGCAAUGGACGGAAGUCUGACCGAGCAACGCCGCGUGAGUGAAGAAGGUUUUCGGAUCGUAAAGCUCUGUUGUAAGAGAAGAACGAGUGUGAGAGUGGAAAGUUCACACUGUGACGGUAUCUUACCAGAAAGGGACGGCUAACUACGUG